rnacentral:miRNA from 1 species
UUGCACUGCCUGCAUCUAUAUACAUAUUUAUUUGUAUAUAUACAAAUAAAUAUGUAUAUAGAUGCAGGCAGUGCAA